rnacentral:rRNA from 1 species
UUGACGGGGGCCCGCACAAGCGGCGGAGCAUGUGGUUUAAUUCGAAGCAACGCGAAGAACCUUACCAGGCCUUGACAUGCAGAGAACUUUCCAGAGAUGGAUUGGUGCCUUCGGGAACUCUGACACAGGUGCUGCAUGGCUGUCGUCAGCUCGUGCCGUGAGGUGUCGGGUUAAGUCCCAUAACGAGCGCAACCCCUAUCAUUAGUUGCCAUCAGGUCAAGCUGGGGACUCUAAUGAAACUGCCUACGCAAGUAGUGAGGAAGGUGGGGAUGACGUCAAAUCGGCACGGCCCUUACGUCCAGGGCUACACACGUGCUACAAUGGCCGGUACAGAGCGCAGCGAAGCCGCGAGGUGGAGCGAAUCGCAAAAAGCCGGUCUCAGUACGGAUUGGAGUCUGAAACCCGACUCCAUGAAGUUGGAAUCGCUAGUAAUCGCGCAUCAGCAUGGCGCGGUGAAUCCGUUCCCGGGCCUU